rnacentral:rRNA from 1 species
AUUGAACGCUGGCGGCAGGCUGAACACAUGCAAGUCGAGCGAGCGGCGGACGGGUGAGUAAUGUCUGGGAAACUGCCUGAUGGAGGGGGAUAACUACUGGAAACGGUAGAUAAUACCGCAUACCAUCAGAGGUGCCCAGAUGGGAUGAGAAAGUAGGUGGGGUAAAGGCUCACCGAGGCGACGAUCCCUAGCUGGUAUGAGAGGAUGACCAGCCACACUUGAACUGAGACACGGUCCAGACUCCGACUGUGGGCAGCAGUAGGGAAUAUUGCACCAUGGGCGCAAGCCUGAUGCAGCCAUGCCGCGUGUAUGAGGAAGGCCUUCGUGUUGUAAAGCUCUUUCAGCGAGGAGGCGUUACUCACAGAAGAAGCACCGGCUAACUCCGUGCCAGCAGCCGCGGUAAUAC